rnacentral:pre_miRNA from 1 species
AAAAUACUCCCUCCGUCCGGAAAUACUUGUCAGAAAAAUGGAUGUAUCUAGACGUAUUUUAGUUCUAAAUACAUCCAUUUUUAUCUAUUUCUCCGACAAGUAUUUUCAGACGGAGGGAGUACUCA